UAGGGAAUCUUCGGCAAUGGACGGAANNNUGGACCGAGCAACCCCGCGUGAGUGAAGAAGGUUUUCGGAUCGUAAAGCUCUGUCGUAAGAGAAGAACGAGUGUGAGAGUGGAAAGUUCACACUGUGACGGUAUCUUACCAGAAAGGGACGGCUAACUACGUGCCAGCAGCCGCGGUAAUACGUAGGUCCCGAGCGUUGUCCGGAUUUAUUGGGCGUAAAGCGAGCGCAGGCGGUUAGAUAAGUCUGAAGUUAAAGGCUGUGGCUUAACCAUAGUAGGCUUUGGAAACUGUUUAACUUGAGUGCAAGAGGGGAGAGUGGAAUUCCAUGUGUAGCGGUGAAAUGCGUAGAUAUAUGGAGGAACACCGGUGGCGAAAGCGGCUCUCUGGCUUGUAACUGACGCUGAGGCUCGAAAGCGUGGGGAGCAAACAGGAUUAGAUACCCUGGUAGUCCACGCUGUAAACGAUGAGUGCUAGGUGUUAGACCCUUUCCGGGGUUUAGUGCCGUAGCUAACGCAUUAAGCACUCCGCCUGGGAGUACGACCGCAAGUUG
rnacentral:rRNA from 1 species